rnacentral:lncRNA from 10 species
AGAUUGCAAGUCCUGUGUCAAUUCAAAUUUUUGCCAGCAGAUACUAAUGACUUCAUUGAAAGCAGAUGUUUAGAAAUGAAAGUAUAAACACAACCCCAGUUGAUUAAUAUGCUUAUUGUAUUUCCUUGUUGUGAGUCUAGCGAAUAUUUGAUUAUCUUUAAGUUGAUCCAUAGUAUAUUCAACAGUCUCAUGAGAACAUAAUUUUUGUUGAUGAUUUGUCCAAAGUUUCUAUCAAUCCAUCUUAGCAGCAGAGCCAAGUGUUAGAGUUAUUGCUGCCUGAGUUAUAACAGCUGCCCUGGGAAUCUUGUCUGAACAACAAGUUAACUGCUGUUCCCAGUUAUAUCUGGUCUUUCCCACCCCCAAACAUACACAAAAGAUUUUUGUCAUUCUUGGCACUGGACAACAGAAGUGAUAAGACAUGCCAGCAGAACUCUAAAGGCAGAAUGUCCUUCCACCUGUUUUAUGCUGUAAGACAAACUUCCAAGUGCGAGGCAGUGUGGAGGGCUGUUGCCUUGAAUGGCAGCUGAAUGCACCAGCGGGAUCCUUGGCAGCAAUGCCCAGGCACUGAAGUCGGGCAUUCAGGAGAGCUAAAUGGAGAAAAGAAACUUGAGCAAACUGCUUCCUGGAACACUGAGAACCUGAAUGGGAAAUUAAGAAGAACCAGAUUCUUUCUAUUCUUCCACCAGCCAAGGUGAUGAGCACAAAAGGAUCCAUCUUAUACAGUGCUUGCCAGCUUCCAUAAUACUACUCACCACGAUGUUGAAAUCACCUGUUCCAGAACCAGUCCUGUCCUUUGACAAGAAGGAUUUAAUUAUCAGUAGUGGUGGGGACUGGCUGGAGAGAGGAAAAACACUUCAAGGACUCUGCCACCUUUCGUAGAUGGAGAGUGCAAAGUUUGUACCAUGGAACUCCUUCUCUAACAGUUACUCUGUGGCAGUGCCUAUUUCAAACCUCCCUUAACUUCUGAUUGUAUAGAUGUUUGUUUCAUUUGUUCAUCUGUUUGUUCACUUAGUCAGAGAUGUUUUAAGCCUUAAGAGAAAUAGUGGACUAGAAAAUGCCUUGGAAAAGUACAAAGUUCAAUCCAAGUAAACUGUUUUUAAACUAGGAAUUUAUGAAGCCUAAAAUAUAAAAUGUAUAUACAUGGAUAUGCUCUGAAGUGAGGUAGAGGGGUAGAAAUCAACAUUGUGAUAUUGUACUAUAGUUUUGCAAGAUGUUACCAUUGGGGGAAAAUGUUUGAAGGGUAUACGGGAUAUCUCUGCCUUAUUUCUUACAACUGCAUGUGAAUCUACAGUUAUCUCAAAAUAAAAAUUUAAUUAACAAUUGAUUACAAUUAACAGCAUUAAUUUCUUAUCCUGUCAUUUUCCUUCUCCUGAAAUUGCAGAAUAGCCAAACAGAAACCUACCCAUGACCACCAUCUGAGAUUCUUUGGUGCCCGUAUUAGUGGACAUAGGCAGGUGUAUCAGGAGGCAUCCAGUCACGCAUACUGGAAGAUACUGACUCAACUGAUUUAAGCAAAGGAAAAUACAGUGUAUUAUAUAAUGAGACAUCUUGAGUAGGGUAGUCCUAGGGUCAGUUGAUUCAGCAGCUUGAUUGAUAAUCAAGGGCCCAAAUUCUUUCCCACUUUCUACCCUGCCAUCCUCAGCCUAUCAGUUUCGUCCUCCAGCUGGCUUAAAGGUAGUUGCAAGGUGGCUGCUAUCAUGCCAUGCAAAAUGCAAAUGCAAAAAGUAUGCAGAUACAAAAAGUAUCUCUUUUCAUAAGUCUCAUUUUAAGGGCAAGGAAAAACCUGCAGGCCUUUCUGCCACUCUCUUGACCCACUUACUUAACUGUGGAACAAGUCACAAACACCUGUUUAAGUGGAUCACUUGGCCAGGAGGGAGAGAUUGCCAUUAUCCUUAGAUGGAGGAGAAUGGGGGUGGGGGUUGUUAUGCCUGAACAUAAUCAGUGCUCUGCCAGUGAGUAAGAGCAGAGAUGGGGUGAUUAAUAGGCAACCCCUCACCAAGGAGCCAUUGUAAAGCUUCAGGCCAGUUCAGAAGGUGAUGAAGAUGGAAAGCCUCCAAAGCAACCAGAACAACCAGAAGGAACACGCUUUUACAGCUUGCUUCUGAUUCCACACCGCGAGGACAAUGGGUCCAGCAUGCCACACUGAUCCAGGAACUUAGAACUAAGUAAGAAGCAAGGGAGAGAGGCUGCUAUAGCUGAAACCCAGAGAAUGAACUUUCUCCCAGGAGGUUGCAAGGGCUGCCCUUGUAAAAGAUCCUGUCCUGGGUUUAAAGAGACCCAUUACAACUUGCUUAUCGUUGGGUAGAGGUUAUAUCCAGGGAAGAGGGAACCGAGGAGAAGUGGAGGAAAGGAGGAAGGCAUGAGAUGUUGGCCCUAACCUAGAUUG